GUUGAUUGGUCUGCUAGGUCGCUUUGGUUCAACACCAUUUUUGGUUGGUGGAAGAUAGCCUGGAAGGCUGCAUGGUUUCCCAUUUACUUUCACACACAGAUUGGGUGGGAAGUGAUCUUCUUGUGGACAACUGGUUUCUGAUAAACAAAACCUUAGCUGGACCUGUACUGUGAAGUCGCAUUUGGUCCCAGAAAUAUCCAUUGAACUGCUGAU
rnacentral:lncRNA from 1 species